AAUGUUUAUGUAAAGCUCCAUAUAUCAAUGGAAAUGUUAUCCAUUUUAUUUCCAAUUUUUUGUAAAAUAAAAACAGUAGUAAACAUGAUAAAACUUAAAAAGAGAAUGAUAUUAACAUUAAUAAUAAAAAAUCAAUACAUAAGUUUUCAAUUUAAAUAGUUAAGACAUUAACUUGUAAUCAAAAGAUAUAUAUUGAAGGCUUUACACAUAAACUAAGAACUAUUUCUCCAUCAAUUUUGGUUUGUUCACCUUACUGUUGCUCCUUGUCUGUUUCAUGCCCUCUAACGGUGUAUACGUUUUCUUUUUUACUCUGAAAAAAUAACAAGUUCAAACAUAUGAAUCUAAAAUGGCAUAAAAUAAGUGUAUACAGAAGAAAGAUAGAUCUGGAGAAUAUUCGAAGAGAUUUUCAAGCAAGACGAAGUGCAUAUAAAAGAACAAGCCUACAUGAAUCUAAAAUGGCAUAAAAGAAGUGUAUAUAAAAGAACAAGUCUACAUGAACCCCUUUUUGGCUCUUGCCUAUAGUAAAGCAUCCUCGCGAGAAGAUGCAUUUGCAUGAAAAUGAUCUCUAGAAUAUAAUUAUGGGCACAACCACCAUCCACGCAUAAAUAUGAAACCCACAAUCAUAUUAAAAUGUGUUAAAAAAGACUAAUAUCAAAUUUGAUUUAAGAUAACAUUAGAAGAAAAGAACCACUGGUUUUACGGAUACGGUGAAGAUACGAUAAUAUAUUAAAGAAAUUCCAAAAUAGAUAUAUAUUGAUGUAAAGUGUAAACUCCAAAAUACUAAAUCUUUCAAAGGUGUAGGUGUGGUUGAAGAUUCUUGAAGAGUUAAAAGUCAGAAUAAUCUUUCAAAGGAACAGUUCCAUACACACAUAUUCUCAUACCAAGCUUAACUUUGUGUCUGGAAUGCAUCUACUUUGGAUCCCAACUUCAUACAAGCCAUUUUUGCUGCUGAAAAUAAAAAUCAAACCUGCAACAAACAACAGAUCCUCUAUAACCUACAACAGUAAACCCCAUUGUUUCUCCAAUGAAGUCAAAUAAAUACAAAUCAAAAUCCAAGAACCCUAGAAAUUCGAUCAAUAAGCAGAACCAAACAUCAGAAACCACAAAAUUUAGCAUAAAUCGACCAAGAUAAAUCCCAAAUUAGAAAAUGAAAACGAUGUAAACUGAGCUUUAACCAUUUAGUAAAUUCAAAUCAAUUUGAAUUAAAAGGUUAGUUUUAUUUGUAACUUACGGCACAGAAGGGCAUUUUCAUAAAAUUUUGAAAGAGGAACGACCUUUGUUUGUUGUAUUUUUCUUAUACAUCCAAUUGCCAAGCCUGAGACAGGGACCUAAAAGUCUUUAUUUAGAUGCCUAUAUUUUAUGUCCCCACAAGAGAAAAAAAAUAUUCUCGAUUGUAUUUUUAAUGACAUCUUUACCUGAAGGAAGGGCUGAAUGUCUGAUCGGUGGAAUAUUCACGUUAAAAAUAAUGUUUGAGAGGAAUCAAUAAUUCAGAAAGAUACAAAAUUUGACGUUGCCCCUUAAUCGAUUGUUAAUGCACAUCUCUUAAACUUCUUCUGUAUCUUUUCGGCUACGUCUGUUUCAGGAAAACGCAAAAUUAUACGGAGGCAGAACGAAGGCGAUAUUUCGAGCGAGAGAGAGACAAUAAGAAUUGAGUGGCCUGAGGUGAUCCAUUAGAUAUAUUGACGAAGAGAGGCAGACAGGAGAGGUUAAAGAAAAUAUGUUUUUUGCGUUUGUGGAUUUCGGUUUCCCAGCCACGCAUAAACAAAAUUAGGGUUUAAAAAUGGGGCAAUGAAUUGGGAGAAGCGGCAAAAUAAAAUUGGG
rnacentral:lncRNA from 1 species